rnacentral:rRNA from 1 species
AUUGAACGCUGGCGGCAGGCUUAACACAUGCAAGUCGAGCGAGCGGCGGACGGGUGAGUAAUGUCUGGGAAACUGCCUGAUGGAGGGGGAUAACUACUGGAAACGGUAGCUAAUACCGCAUACCAUCAGAUGUGCCCAGAUGGGAUUAGCUAGUAGGGGGGGUAAUGGACCACCUAGGCGACGAUCCCUAGCUGGUCUGAGAGGAUGACCAGCCAAACUGGAACUGAGACACGGUCCAGGCUCCUACGGGAGGCAGCAGUGGGGAUGCUUGCACAAUGGGCGCAAGCCUGAUGCAGCCAUGCCGCGUGUGUGAAGAAGGCCUGCGGGUUGUAAAACACUUUCAGCGAGGAGGCGUUACCCGCAGAAGAAGCACCGGCUAACUCCGUGCCAGCAGCCGCGGUAAUAC